CUCUGUGACUCCUACGGGAGGCAGCAGUGGGGAAUAUUGGACAAUGGGCGAAACCCUGAUGCAGCCAUGCCGCGUGUGUGAAGAAGGCCUUCGGGUUGUAAAGCACUUUCAGUAGGGAGGAAGGUAGUGUAGUUAACACCUGCAUUAUUUGACGUUACCUACAGAAGAAGCACCGGCUAACUCCGUGCCAGCAGCCGCGGUAAUACGGAGGGUGCGAGCGUUAAUCGGAAUUACUGGGCGUAAAGCGCAUGCAGGCGGCCUGUUAAGUCAGAUGUGAAAGCCCCGGGGCUUAACCUCGGAAUUGCAUUUGAAACUGGCAGGCUAGAGUCUUGUAGAGGGGGUAGAAUUUCAGGUGUAGCGGUGAAAUGCGUAGAGAUCUGAAGGAAUACCAGUGGCGAAGGCGGCCCCCUGGACAAAGACUGACGCUCAGAUGCGAAAGCGUGGGGAGCAAACAGGAUUAGAUACCCUGGGAG
rnacentral:rRNA from 1 species